GUCUGACGCAGCGACGCCGCGUGGAGGAUGAAGGUUUUCGGAUCGUAAACUCCUGUCAAGAGGGAAGAAACCUAUCAUGAAUAAUACUCAUGGUAAUUGACGGUACCUCUAGAGGAAGCACCGGCUAAUUCAGUGCCAGCAGCCGCGGUAAUACUGAAGGUGCAAGCGUUAAUCGGAAUCACUGGGCGUAAAGCGCUCGUAGGUGGCUUUGUAAGUCAGGUGUGAAAGCCCACGGCUCAACCGUGGAAUUGCACUUGAUACUGCAUCGCUAGAGUAUAGGAGAGGGAAGUGGAAUUUCUGGUGUAGGAGUGAAAUCCGUAGAGAUCAGAAGGAACACCCGUGGCGAAGGCGACUUCCUGGACUAUUACUGACACUGAGGAGCGAAAGCGUGGGGAGCAAACAGGAUUAGAUACCCUGGUAG
rnacentral:rRNA from 1 species